ACACACACACACGCACGCACGCACACACACGCACGCACGCGCACACACACACGCGCACACACACGCACACGCCCGCGCACACACUCUCUCACACACACACAGAGAUUGGAGAGAGACAGGAGAGAGACAUGUUUUCAUCUAUCCUUUGUGGACUUCUGUUGUUUUUACUGCUGUGAAAUUUGACUUGCGAUAUCUGCUUGUAAAACAUCAUCAAAUCCAAAUUCAUUAUAUUCCACUUUUUCUAUUACAUGGUUUCUGCUUCACUGAUUCAUAUCUGUUUUACCUAUUCUGUAAGGGAGGAGAAGCUGCGUUAGGUUUCAUCUCUUGUUUAAGUUCAGUUUAAUAAAUAGUAGAUAAUGCCUCUUCUCUUUUUUCCUUUUGAAGAGGAGAAAAAGGAAAGAAUUGUAGUUGAUUCUUAUGUAGCAACUUAUUCAUUCAUUCAGUAGCUAUAGAAGCGAAUUGUUUUGUAGGUAAUUAUUAACGAUGCUUUGGAUAAUUCCCUAGCUAACUAUUCCUUCUUUUCCAUCCCAGAAAGCAAUGAAGAGAAAAGCUGAAGUCAGUGAUUAGGAGUGUCUGUGUAAGUAAAAGCAACAGGCAAUUACUGAGUGUGGUGUGAGAGGCACGGAAAGAUUGGGAAUUCAGCAAGAAGAGGAAUUGAAGUCAAACCUCACCUACUUCCCAGAGUCUUCUGGAUUUUCUGUUAGAAGCUUCAGUAUCUGAGGUAAGGAAAAGAAACUGCAGGACUUACAGAAUAUACCCUUUCCUUUCCAUCCUCUGUAUUACUUAAUAGGUAUUUUGCUUUGUUUUCAUUUUUUCAUUCCUCCUCUUAUCUUCUGCCUUAAUUUUCAACUCCAUAUUACUAAGUGGCAUGGUUUUCAAGUUUUCUGUACAGUGUUUUACUAUUUUAAAUAAAAAAAAAUUUUUAGUUUUAAA
ensembl:lncRNA LINC02268 long intergenic non-protein coding RNA 2268